GUAACGGUGUCUUUAGACACCACCUUUUCUGUCUUCAAAAUGUUAU
rfam:Picea glauca, whole genome shotgun sequence.